UACGGAGGGUGCAAGCGUUAUCCGGAUUCACUGGGUUUAAAGGGUGCGUAGGUGGGUCUGUAAGUCAGUGGUGAAAUCUCCGAGCUUAACUUGGAAACUGCCAUUGAUACUAUAGAUCUUGAAUAUUGUGGAGGUCAGCGGAAUAUGUCAUGUAGCGGUGAAAUGCUUAGAUAUGACAUAGAACACCAAUUGCGAAGGCAGCUGGCUACACAUAUAUUGACUCUGAGGCACGAAAGCGUGGGGAGCGAACAGG
rnacentral:rRNA from 1 species